CAGCCUGGCCAAGCCUCGGUCCCCAGAGCAGGUGUUGACCCCGGUUCUCACCAGGCUGCCCCUGAGGACUCAGGACAGCAAGCGGAUCAGACAAGGCCCUGCCCUCACGGAGCGCGGGGAAGAGGCCAAGGACACCAGAAAGCUCAGGCGUCAGGCCAAGGGAGGCCCGUCUCGGCAGGGUCCUCUCUGAGAACAAGAGCGGACCGCUCUCUUAGCGGGCUGGGGGCGAGCCCACAGGGUGAGAACCACCAGUGUGUGGGAGCGGGAAAGGUAUCCGAGCUGAGGGAAUGGCAGAUGCAAAGGCCCUGGAGCAGAAGAACCACGGUGUCUCGCUGCAGUCUCUCUCACCUCAAGCAGGUGUGUGGGGUGGGUACCACCUGUCAGCAGGUGCGGCUCUGGGGAUGGCGGUGAGGGAGGCAGGCUGAGGCCAUCUGGGCAGGCUGGCAGAUGGCUGUGGGACGCCCCAGGCACCCGGGUGGGCGGAAGGUUGUGGUCUACCUCACUUCAGGCUGCACUGACCUGGACGGUGAGCUGUGGGCAUCUGUGGGAGGGAGCGUCACCAGCUGGCGGGGGGCGGGGGGGGCUGGCUUCAUCCUGGAUGGGGAGGGGCCAUCGGGGCUGUCCCACCUGGGCAGGACUGGAAGUCACCUUGCACCAUCUUGAUCGGGGCCCCAAGGGCCAGAGAACAGACUCUAGCAUCCCAACCCUCAGCUGAGGUGGAGAGAGAGGACUGGACAGACCAACGGGCUCUGAGAUCGCAGCUGUCCGGAAAAGCCUGGACCAGGCACAGAUUGCAGGAGGCCCCGGGCCCAGGCGUCCCAAGGAUGGGGGCCCCGCCUGGGCCCCUGCCCAAGUGACCUGCCCAGAUCGACCACCCCUCUGCCACAAGACUGCUCCUGGGGGCCGUGCUGGGGCCCCAGGGGUCAUGGGCACCCAAGCCAGCCCUUCUCCUUUGGGGCCUCCCCUCCCCCAUAUGGCACCCGCAGCCCUGGCCUCGCCCCACAAAGCUGCGAGUCCCUAGCGUCCACAGCGCCUGGCUUCCUGUCUGUGACCAGGCUCCUACCACCCUGCUGUCCAGCCACCUCCCCCAGCCUCUCCUGUGUCUGCUCCACCCAGGGCCUGUCAGCUCUCACCCGAUAACCUGUCUGAGUCACUCCAUGACUGUCAUUCUGUCUCCUCUUUGCAAGUCGGCCUCGGCACCUCACGGCCCGUGGACAAACCUGGAAGCCCUUGCCUGGCCGUCGUUGGAGCCACGUGGCCCCAGGAGCGCCCGGGCUCAGCCCAGCCAAGACGUCCCCGAGCCUGGCUCAAGCUGCACACCGCCCACCUCCGCGUCCCCACACUCCCCCCCACCCCACCCCCGAGGGUGUCUUGCCCUGAGACCUGGGUGGGACCUCUCGUGUUCAGUGUCCAGAACUGGGCCUGGCUCACUGGGGAGAGAGCAAGGCGAACGCACGCAGACACACAGGCCUGACAAAGGCUCACAGCUGUUGACAGAAAGAGCCCGGGACACACCUAGAGGCGGCAGGAGAGACUUCACGCAGGCCCCUGCAGUGGGGAGAGACCCCACAAGGACUCCAGGGUUUAAAGGGAGAGCAGGAGUCUCCCGGUGGCUCAGCCAGUUAAGCAUCUGAGGCUGUCACUGCUGUGGCACAGUUUCGAUCCCUGGCUCAGAACUUCUUCAUGCCUCGAGUGCGGCCAAACAAUAAAUAAAUAAAGGGAUGACGUUUUCGUUG
ensembl:lncRNA